GUAGCUUGUUGGCGGGGUAACGGCCCACCAAGGCAACGAUCAGUAGGGGUUCUGAGAGGAAGGUCCCCCACAUUGGAACUGAGACACGGUCCAAACUCCUACGGGAGGCAGCAGUGAGGAAUAUUGGUCAAUGGGCGAGAGCCUGAACCAGCCAAGUAGCGUGCAGGAAGACGGCCCUAUGGGUUGUAAACUGCUUUUAUAAGGGAAUAAAGUGAGAGUCGUGACUCUUUUUGCAUGUACCUUAUGAAUAAGGACCGGCUAAUUCCGUGCCAGCAGCCGCGGUAAUACGGAAGGUCCGGGCGUUAUCCGGAUUUAUUGGGUUUAAAGGGAGCGUAGGCCGGAGAUUAAGCGUGUUGUGAAAUGUAGACGCUCAACGUCUGCACUGCAGCGCGAACUGGUUUCCUUGAGUACGCACAAAGUGGGCGGAAUUCGUGGUGUAGCGGUGAAAUGCUUAGAUAUCACGAAGAACUCCGAUUGCGAAGGCAGCUCACUGGAGCGCAACUGACGCUGAAGCUCGAAAGUGCGGGUAUCGAACAGGAUUAGAUACCCUGGUAGUCCGCACGGUAAACGAUGGAUGCCCGCUGUUGGUCUGAACAGGUCAGCGGCCAAGCGAAAGCAUUAAGCAUCCCACCUGGGGAGUACGCCGGCAAUGGUGAAACUCAAAGGAAUUGACGGGGGCCCGCACAAGCGGAGGAACAUGUGGUUUAAUUCGAUGAUACGCGAGGAACCUUACCCGGGCUUGAAUUGCAGAGGAAGGAUUUGGAGACAAUGACGCCCUUCGGGGUCUCUGUGAAGGUGCUGCAUGGUUGUCGUCAGCUCGUGCCGUGAGGUGUCGGCUUAAGUGCCAUAACGAGCGCAACCCCUCUCCUUAGUUGCCAUCAGGUUAAGCUGGGCACUCUGGGGACACUGCCACCGUAAGGUGUGAGGAAGGUGGGGAUGACGUCAAAUCAGCACGGCCCUUACGUCCGGGGCUACACACGUGUUACAAUGGCAGGUACAGAGAGACGGUUGUACGUAAGUACGAUCAAAUCCUUAAAGCCUGUCUCAGUUCGGACUGGGGUCUGCAACCCGACCCCACGAAGCUGGAUUCGCUAGUAAUCGCGCAUCAGCCAUGGCGCGGUGAAUACGUUCCCGGGCCUUGUACACACCGCCCGUCAAGCCAUGAAAGCCGGGGGCGCCUAAAGUCCGUGACCGUAAGGAGCGGCCUAGGGCGAAACUGGUAAUUGGGGCUAAGUCGUAACAAGGUA
rnacentral:rRNA from 1 species